GCCAAAAUACCAGAGUAUUGCAGUAUGCAAUGAUACCUGUUUUAUUGGACUAACAUAAUAACAGUAUACCUCAGUAUUGCUUCAGACCUGAGGAAGAGAGGAAAAAUCUUGAAAGCUUGUCUUUGAAAUAUAUGUUAGUCCAAUAAAAAAGGUAUCAUUGCAUACUGCAAAACUCUGGUAUUUUGGU